rnacentral:rRNA from 1 species
CGAAACCAGGUGAUCUACCCAUGUCCAGGAUGAAGGUAAGGUAAUACUUACUGGAGGUCCGAACCCACGCACGUUGAAAAGUGCGGGGAUGAGGUGUGGGUAGCGGAGAAAUUCCAAUCGAACUUGGAGAUAGCUGGUUCUCUCCGAAAUAGCUUUAGGGCUAGCCUCGAGGUAAAGAGUCAUGGAGGUAGAGCACUGUUUGGACUAGGGGCCCUUCUCGGGUUACCGAAUUCAGAUAAACUCCGAAUGCCAUGUACUUAUACUCGGGAGUCAGACUGCGAGUGAUAAGAUCCGUAGUCGAAAGGGAAACAGCCCAGACCACCAGUUAAGGUCCCCAAAUAUAUGUUAAGUGGAAAAGGAUGUGGGGUUGCUUAGACAACCAGGAUGUUGGCUUAGAAGCAGCCACCAUUGAAAGAGUGCGUAAUAGCUCACUGGUCGAGUGACCCCGCGCCGAAAAUGUACCGGGGCUAAACAUAUUACCGAAACUGUGGAUGAACCUCUUUAGAGGUUCGUGGUAGGAGAGCGUUCUAAGGGCGGUGAAGUCAGACCGGAAGGACUGGUGGAGCGCUUAGAAGUGAGAAUGCCGGUAUGAGUAGCGAAAGAAGGGUGAGAAUCCCUUCCACCGAAUAUCUAAGGUUUCCUGAGGAAGGCUCGUCCGCUCAGGGUUAGUCGGGACCUAAGCCGAGGCCGAUAGGCGUAGGCGAUGGACAACAGGUAGAGAUUCCUGUACCAGUGCUAAUUGUUUAACCGAUGGGGUGACACAGAAGGAUAGGGAAUCGCACGAAUGGAAAUGUGCGUCCAAGCAGUGAGUGUGAGAAGUAGGCAAAUCCGCUUCUCGCGAAGCAUGAGCUGUGAUGGGGAAGGAAAUUAAGUACGGAAGUUCCUGAUUUCACGCUGUCAAGAAAAGCCUCUAGGAAGAGUAGUACUGCCCGUACCGCAAACCGACACAGGUAGAUGAGGAGAGAAUCCUAAGGUGAGCGAGAGAACUCUCGUUAAGGAACUCGGCAAAAUGACCCCGUAACUUCGGGAGAAGGGGUGCUCUAUUAGGGUGCAAGCCCGAGAGAGCCGCAGUGAAUAGGCCCAGGCGACUGUUUAGCAAAAACACAGGUCUCUGCAAAACCGUAAGGUGACGUAUAGGGGCUGACGCCUGCCCGGUGCUGGAAGGUUAAGAGGAGUGCUUAGCUUCGGCGAAGGUACGAAUUGAAGCCCCAGUAAACGGCGGCCGUAACUAUAACGGUCCUAAGGUAGCGAAAUUCCUUGUCGGGUAAGUUCCGACCCGCACGAAAGGCGCAACGAUCUGGGCACUGUCUCAACGAGAGACUCGGUGAAAUUAUAGUACCUGUGAAGAUGCAGGUUACCCGCGACAGGACGGAAAGACCCCGUGGAGCUUUACUGCAACCUGAUAUGGAAUGUUUGUACCGCUUGUACAGGAUAGGUAGGAGCCGAAGAGACGUGUGCGCUAGCAUACGAGGAGGCAAUGGUGGGAUACUACCCUGGCUGUAUGACCAUUCUAACCCGCCACGCUUAGCGCGUGGGGAGACAGUGUCAGGUGGGCAGUUUGACUGGGGCGGUCGCCUCCUAAAGAGUAACGGAGGCGCCCAAAGGUUCCCUCAGAAUGGAUGGAAAUCAUUCGCAGAGUGUAAAGGCACAAGGGAGCUUGACUGCGAGACUGACAAGUCGAGCAGGGACGAAAGUCGGGCUUAGUGAUCCGGUGGUUCCGCAUGGAAGGGCCAUCGCUCAACGGAUAAAAGCUACCCCGGGGAUAACAGGCUUAUCUCCCCCAAGAGUCCACAUCGACGGGGAGGUUUGGCACCUCGAUGUCGGCUCGUCGCAUCCUGGGGCUGUAGUCGGUCCCAAGGGUUGGGCUGUUCGCCCAUUAAAGCGGCACGCGAGCUGGGUUCAGAACGUCGUGAGACAGUUCGGUCCCUAUCCGUCGCGGGCGCAGGAAAUUUGAGAGGAGCUGUCCUUAGUACGAGAGGACCGGGAUGGACACACCGCUGGUGUACCAGUUGUUCCGCCAGGAGCAUCGCUGGGUAGCUAUGUGUGGCAGGGAUAAACGCUGAAAGCAUCUAAGCGUGAAGCCCCCCUCAAGAUGAGAUUUCCCAUUUCUUCGGAAAGUAAGAUCCCUGAAAGAUGAUCAGGUAGAUAGGUUUGGAGUGGAAGUGUAGCGAUACAUGGAGCGGACAAAUACUAAUCGAUCGAGGACUUAACCAAAA